rnacentral:rRNA from 1 species
AGCGAACGCUGGCGGCAGGCCUAACACAUGCAAGUCGAACGAACUCUUCGGAGUUAGUGGCGGACGGGUGAGUAACACGUGGGAACGUGCCUUUAGGUUCGGAAUAACUCAGGGAAACUUGUGCUAAUACCGAAUGUGCCCUUCGGGGGAAAGAUUUAUCGCCUUUAGAGCGGCCCGCGUCUGAUUAGCUAGUUGGUGAGGUAAAGGCUCACCAAGGCGACAAUCAGUAGCUGGUCUGAGAGGAUGAUCAGCCACAUUGGGACUGAGACACGGCCCAAACUCCUACGGGAGGCAGCAGUGGGGAAUCUUGCGCAAUGGGCGAAAGCCUGACGCAGCCAUGCCGCGUGAAUGAUGAAGGUCUUAGGAUUGUAAAAUUCUUUCACCGGGGACGAUAAUGACGGUACCCGGAGAAGAAGCCCCGGCUAACUUCGCG